UUGAUCUUACAAUUUAAUCUUUCAAACUGUUGGAUUAGAAUCAGCAAACGAUAUUUUAUCUUUUAAAUUUAAAUAUAUCAGUUAUCUCUACGGCAAUAGUUAGUGAACUUUAUAUAGUUUUCACAAUUAUAAAUUUAGUAAAACAAGUAAUUAAUUUAAAUAAAUUGAAAGAUUGUAUAGUAAAAUUAAAAUUUUAAAAGAUUGAAUGGUCUAUGCAAGAUAAUUCAGAUAUAUUUUGUGUGUUUCUGAUUUUUUAUU
rnacentral:lncRNA from 1 species